AUGGGAGGUAGGGAAUAUUUUAAAGGAAACUUCAUGGAAAAAACAAACUAAAUGAUGUAUAUGAUGUCUUCAAAUUUCUGUACAACAAGUACAGUGAUGACACAUAUCUCAGCAACAUAAAAAAUCAGUCAUUCAUCAUGCACAUAUGGGAAAUUGGAGAAAUUGAAAUGGUUAAAACCACAUGUAAAAAGACUGAGUCUGACUUCCACCAAUGUCAUUUAGAGAGGGAAUUCUAUGCCAUAAAGCGGACUCCUGGAGAAACAAUGUACUAUAUAUCAUUGCCUGGAAGAAUCAGAUGCAGGAAGUUCCUGUCUAAUCUGGGCAAAUGUCCCUUCCAAGAACAAACAGAAGAACUGAAGAGAGAAAUAUGUUACUUUCAACUGUAUCCUGAUUAUUAUGAGCAAAAUAUGAAUGCUGUAAGAUUCAAUUGUUAUACUGAAUGAGACUCUGAGCCUGACUGGACUGUUACCCACCACUUGCAGACAUUGAUUAUAGUUCUGGAACUCUAAUAUGGAAUCACCCUUCAGUCUGGAUGCCAGGAGUCGCAGAGAUAUGCAGUCCAGUUAUGUACACCUGAACAAUUGUCUUCCUUUUACUUUUCACACACUUCUUUUAAAUGAACCAUUGUAAGCCUCCCAUGAAAAACCUAUGCUUUGCUCAAUAAAGGUACUCCCAAUCCUCUUGA